rnacentral:rRNA from 1 species
GUUAUAUGGUCAAGCGAAUAAGCGCACACGGUGGAUGCCUUGGCGGUCAGAGGCGAUGAAGGACGUGGCAGCCUGCGAAAAGUAUCGGGGAGCUGGCAACAAGCUUUGAUCCGGUAAUGUCCGAAUGGGGAAACCCACCCGCUUGCGGGUAUCCUGCAGUGAAUACAUAGCUGCUGGAAGCGAACCUGGUGAACUGAAAUAUCUAAGUAACCAGAGGAAAAGAAAUCAACCGAGAUUCCGUAAGUAGCGACGAGCGAACGCGGACUAGCCCUUAAGCUGGAUUGGUUCUAGGAAAACGCUCUGGAAAGAGCGGCCAUAGAAGGUGAUAGCCCUGUAUCUGAAAGGGCCAUUCCAGUGAAGACGAGUAGGGCGGGGCACGUGAAACCCUGUCUGAACAUGGGGGGACCAUCCUCCAAGGCUAAAUACUACUGACCGACCGAUAGUGAACCAGUACCGUGAGGGAAAGGCGAAAAGAACCCCGGAGAGGGGAGUGAAAUAGAACCUGAAACCGUGUGCGUACAAGCAGUAGGAGCUCCGCAAGGAGUGACUGCGUACCUUUUGUAUAAUGGGUCAGCGACUUACUGUUCGUGGCAAGCUUAACCGUAUAGGGGAGGCGAAGGGAAACCGAGUCUGAUAAGGGCGCAUAGUCGCGGGCAGUAGACCCGAAACCGGGUGAUCUAGUCAUGCCCAGGGUGAAGGUGCGGUAACACGCACUGGAGGCCCGAACCCACUCCCGUUGCAAAGGUAGGGGAUGAGGUGUGAUUAGGAGUGAAAAGCUAAUCGAACCCGGAGAUAGCUGGUUCUCCUCGAAAGCUAUUUAGGUAGCGCCUCAUAUGUAUCCUCUCGGGGGUAGAGCACUGUUAUGGCUAGGGGGUCAUCGCGACUUACCAAACCAUUGCAAACUCCGAAUACCGAGACGGACUGUAUGGGAGACACACGGCGGGUGCUAACGUCCGUCGUGAAAAGGGAAACAACCCAGACCCACAGCUAAGGUCCCAAAUUCACUGCUAAGUGGAAAACCAUGUGGAAAGGCACAGACAGCCAGGAGGUUGGCUUAGAAGCAGCCACCCUUUAAAGAAAGCGUAAUAGCUCACUGGUCGAGUCGGUCUGCGGGGAAGAUUUAACGGGGCUAAGCAGUGAACCGAAGCUUGGGGUGCAUAACUUUGUUAUGCGCGGUAGAGGAGCGUUCCGUAAGCCGUUGAAGGUGGAUUGAGAAGUCUGCUGGAGGUAUCGGAAGUGCGAAUGCUGACAUGAGUAACGAUAAUGCGGGUGAAAAACCCGCACGCCGAAAGCCCAAGGUUUCCUUGCGCAACGUUAAUCGGCGCAGGGUGAGUCGGCCCCUAAGGCGAGGACGAAAGUCGUAGUCGAUGGGAAGCAGGUUAAUAUUCCUGCACCUCGCGUAAGUGCGAUGGAGGGACGGAGAAGGUUAGGUGUACCAGGCGUUGGUUGUCCUGGGGAAAGGCGGUAGGUUUGGAUCUUUGGCAAAUCCGGGAUCCUUUAAGACCGAGCACCGAGACGAGCCUUUAUGGCGAAGUCACUGAUACCACGCUUCCAGGAAAAGCUCCUAAGCUUCAGCUUACGCAGACCGUACCGUAAACCGACACAGGUGGGUAGGAUGAGAAUUCUCAGGCGCUUGAGAGAACUCGGGUGAAGGAACUAGGCAACAUGGCACCGUAACUUCGGGAGAAGGUGCACCCUUUUUGGUGGCUCGUGCGAGCUAUAGCUGAAGAGGGUCGCAGUAACCAGGCCGCUGCGACUGUUUAUCAAAAACACAGCACUCUGCAAACACGAAAGUGGACGUAUAGGGUGUGACGCCUGCCCGGUGCUGGAAGGUUAAUUGAUGGGGUCAGCCGCAAGGCGAAGCUCUUGAUCGAAGCCCCAGUAAACGGCGGCCGUAACUAUAACGGUCCUAAGGUAGCGAAAUUCCUUGUCGGGUAAGUUCCGACCUGCACGAAUGGCGUAACGACAGCGGCGCUGUCUCCACCCGAGACUCAGUGAAAUUGAAAUCGCUGUGAAGAUGCAGCGUUCCCGUGGCAAGACGGAAAGACCCCGUGAACCUUUACUAUAGCUUUACACUGAACGUUGAGUUCGUCUGUGUAGGAUAGGUGGGAGGCUAUGAAACUGUGGCGCUAGCUGCAGUGGAGCCAUCCUUGAAAUACCACCCUGUCGUGCUUGACGUUCUAACCUGGGCCCAUUAUCUGGGUCGGGGACCGUGUAUGGUGGGUAGUUUGACUGGGGCGGUCUCCUCCUAAAGAGUAACGGAGGAGCUCGAAGGUACGCUCAGCGCGGUCGGACAUCGCGCACUGUGUGCAAAGGCAUAAGCGUGCUUGACUGCAAGAUCGACGGAUCAAGCAGGUAGGAAACUAGGACUUAGUGAUCCGGUGGUUCUGUAUGGAAGGGCCAUCGCUCAACGGAUAAAAGGUACUCCGGGGAUAACAGGCUGAUACCGCCCAAGAGUUCAUAUCGACGGCGGUGUUUGGCACCUCGAUGUCGGCUCAUCACAUCCUGGGGCUGUAGUCGGUCCCAAGGGUAUGGCUGUUCGCCAUUUAAAGUGGUACGCGAGCUGGGUUCAGAACGUCGUGAGACAGUUCGGUCCCUAUCUGCCAUGGGCGUUGGAGAUUUGAGAGGGGCUGCUCCUAGUACGAGAGGACCGGAGUGGACGAACCUCUGGUGUUCCGGUUGUCACGCCAGUGGCAUUGCCGGGUAGCUAUGUUCGGAAGCGAUAACCGCUGAAAGCAUCUAAGCGGGAAGCGCGCCUCAAGAUGAGAUCUCCCGGGGCACAAGCCCCCUGAAGGAACCAUGUAGACUACGUGGUUGAUAGGUCAGGUGUGUAAGUACAGCAAUGUAUUGAGCUAACUGAUACUAAUGAUCCGUGCGGCUUGACCAUAUAACCU